rnacentral:sRNA from 1 species
UUUUUUCAUAGAGGUCUCAUUAUAUUGCCCAGACUGGUCUUGAACUCCUGGGCUCAAAGAAUCCUACCUCGGCCUCCCAAAGUGUUGGGAAGCCACUGCGCCCAGCCAGGGGCCUCAUCUUUAAAAGGGGAAUAUGGCACCUGUCCCACAGGAUUGUUUGGAGGAGAGCACCUGGCACUAGAAAGGCUCAGCUCACAGGAUAGUUAAUGUGCUGGAUGGAGGUGUACAGGAAAGACUUAUCUGGGGGGUGGUAGAGGCCCAAGGACAGGCUUAUGUCCAGAAGCAUCCCACUUAUGUCCACUCUCCACCCAGAGGUGCGCAUGGCUGAGAUGGUGUCCAUGGGUGUGGGGAACAAGGCCUUCCGAGACAUUGCUUCCAGCGAGGAAGCCAUCAACGACCGCACCGUCAACUAUGUCCUGAAGUGCCGAGAAGUUCGCUCUCGGGCGUCCAUUGCCGUAGCCCCGUUUGACCAUGACAGCCUCUACCUGGGGGCCUCGAACUCCCUUCCUGGAGACCCUGCCUCUUGCUCUGUUCUGGGGUCCCUCAACCUGCACCUGUACAGAGACCCAGCUCUUCUGGGUCUCCGCUGUCCCCUGUAUCCCAACUUCCCAGAGGAAGCAGCACUGGAGGCUGAGGCAGAGCUGGGCGGCCAGCCCUCUUUGACUGCUGAGGACUCAGAGGUCUCGUCCCAAUGCCCAUCAGCCAGUGGCUCCAGUGGCUCUGACAGCAGCUGUGUGUCAGGGCAGGCCCUGGGUAGGGGCCUCGAGGACUUACCCUGUGUCUGAGCCCGGGACUGGACGAGCAGUAGAUCCAGCAGCCUGCAGCUCCAAGGAACAUUGCCUCUCUGGAUCUGCUGUGACCAGGGUGUGGCUGACACCUGGGCUACCUCCAACCUACGUGUGCAACGCUGUUGACUACCCUUUCUGAUGUGUGUGGCCAUUGGACUAACUGGCACGGGGCCUCUCUAGGGGAGUCUGGUUGUAGAGCCUGAAUAGGCUCUUGGCCCCAUGACCCCUUCUCCUGUCCCCAGCUCCCAUCCCAGUUGUGGGUUAAGAAUAGGCUAGAGCAGACAUUGGGUGUUUCCAUGCUGUAGGCUGGUGGGGGACCAUGUGCCUCUGGGCAGUGACUAGGGUGCCCCCACCCCUCAGGAAGAACACAGGUGGGCUCCUAGCAGCUGAUCCCCAAUGCCUGGCCUUAAAGCCGAGCUCAGUUACCAUAGGGACAGGUCCACCUCAACUGGGCCCUCAUGCUUGCCUUUCCUGGCCCCCAGGCCCAGCCCCUUUU